AGAGUUUGAUCAUGGCUCAGGAUGAACGCUGGCGGCGUGCCUAACACAUGCAAGUCGAGCGAUUUACUUCGGUAAAGAGCGGCGGACGGGUGAGUAACGCGUGGGUAACCUGCCCUGUACACACGGAUAACAUACCGAAAGGUAUGCUAAUACGAGAUAAUAUGCUUUUAUCGCAUGGUAGAAGUAUCAAAGCUUUUGCGGUACAGGAUGGGCCCGCGUCUGAUUAGCUAGUUGGUAAGGUAACGGCUUACCAAGGCGACGAUCAGUAGCCGACCUGAGAGGGUGAUCGGCCACAUUGGAACUGAGACACGGUCCAAACUCCUACGGGAGGCAGCAGUGGGGAAUAUUGCACAAUGGGCGAAAGCCUGAUGCAGCAACGCCGCGUGAGCGAUGAAGGCCUUCGGGUCGUAAAGUUCUGUCCUCAAGGAAGAUAAUGACGGUACUUGAGGAGGAAGCCCCGG
rnacentral:rRNA from 1 species